rnacentral:tRNA from 1 species
GCCUCUAUAGCUCAGUGGUAGAGCGCUGGUCUUGUAAACCAGCGGUCGUGAGUUCGAUCCUCACUGGGGGCU